UUCAACCAGGGGAACCGGAAAACCGUCACGGCUUUAUAUAACCGUCAGGAAUAUGGAUGGGGCGCAGCUAAAUCGGCCUGAAAUAAACAGACGUCUUCAUAAUCAAAUUGGCGCUCGUGGCCGUCAGCUGCUGAACAUUCAACAGCUCGGAAGCGGUGAACGAAGUAACGUCGGCCAACACAGGAUAUACGCACGGAUCAUACCGUAUUAUUGCAACAACAAAGAAGUUCAGGUGGAUUGAGAACCUGGCCACAACGGGAAUCCUUUGGAGAUUCCGGCAGGAAUUCGAAUAAAACGAAGAUUCGUCAAUUCAACCAGGGGAACCGGAAAACGUUUUCAUAACCAACAUCUUGGCAAUCGUGGCCGUCAGCUGCUGAACAUUCAUCGAACAUCUCGGAAGCGGUGAACGAAGGUAACGCCAUGGAUUGGACCAAAGGAUGUCCACGGAACAUACCCAUUCGAAGUUCUCCUAGAUCAUCGAUUUUCGUGUCGCUCGGUUUGAAAGGUGCAACAUGGUUAUUCGUCCGAAAGUGGCCUGCGAGUUUCAGGUGAGGAGCUACACACCUGUCGCCACACCAGUUCACUGAAUCACUGUUUAGAUGACUUGCUGCCCCUGGCUGAUUUUGCUUCGUAUGGACAAAUAAUCAAACGGGCUGAUAGCGGCUUCUCAUAAGAACCCAUCUGUCUAGGGUUCCAGUCGGCGAACAAUGAUAGAUUCUAAUCCGCUGAAGAGUACCGUUAUGUGCGUCAAUAGCUGUAUGGGAAAAAUCCUAAAGAUUGGGAUAAAUGAAUUUCCUUUGUUCGAGUCCUGUGAAAAAAAAAUUA